AGAACUUGAAGGUUUGUUUAGGUCCAAUUUUUAAGUUGGAUUCUAGAGAGAGAAGAUCCAUGUUAGGAUGCCAACAUAAGAAAACUCUGUUCAUUGGUAGCGAAAAGAAUCUGGGAUCAUUCUUCUACUUCAGUACAGCAUGUAAAUGAUUCAAUCUUGUUUUAGUAUAUCCUUUAAUAGAGCAUAAUUUCUAUCAUCAAGCAUUUCUUAUAAUUUGGCGUUUCAAACAAAUGGCAAGAGUUACGUAACAAAAUAUGCAGUAACAUGGUGCAUACUUGUUCUUGAGUUUUUCAAACAUGAUUAUAUAAAACAUUCAAAUCAAACAUUUAAAAACCUACUAUUAAACUAACAAUAGUAAUAUAGUUAUCCGUAGAAACAACCUCUUUGCAGAAGGAUCUGUCAAUCUUUUCAAUCAAGCAAGUCGGAAAUUGGACUCUUCCUAAAACCAUCAACUUGAGUCAACAUGUGAGCCAAAGUUCUGUUGGGAUAUAUAUUAUCAGCUUUCAACCUGUCCCUAAUUCCAUAAGCUGGAACUUUGGCAUUUAUGUAGGCUUCUAUAAGAACAUGGUACUGCCUUAUUCGAGAUGCAUAACCAGCUUGUUUCAUUCUAUAGAAAAUCUUUUCCGAAUUAUGGAUGUCGCCUCUCUUAGCAUACUGCUCCAGAAUAGCGAUAUAGGAAGAAAAUAAUGGCUUCAUCUGACUCUGCUGGAUUGCCUUCUGCAGAAUACUAUCUGCCUUUUCCACUUCACCUGCUUGAACGUAAAGUUUCACUAAUGCAUCCCAAGUCAUCGGACCUAUUAGACACCCAUUAUCUGCCAUUCGCUUAACAAGAUCCUUUCCCUUCACUAGCAUGUUGUGGUUUGCAUAAACCUUCAGUAGUACUGAGCAGUUCUUAGAUGAAAGCUUCCAUCUUUUUGACAUCAUCUCAAAAACUGCCUCUGCUUCAUCAAUUUUCUUCAACUUCCCCCAGGCUUCAAUUGCAGACAAACACUCCUCAAUCCAAGGGUGUGUCUCGCAGACCUUCCAAACUCUUUCCACUUCAUCGGCCAUUCCCAAGUCUGCAUAGAGAUUAAGCAAAACUCGACAUACCCAUCUAUUCUCUUUCAAGUUUUCACCUUCCAUCUCCUUCAAUAUAGUUUUAGCUUUAUCAACAAGCGCAGCUGAUAUGUAAUGCCCUGCCAAAACUGCGCUUGUUUGAAUGUCCGGUUCAAUACCCUCAGCCUUCAUUUUAUCAACAAUUUGUUCCAUUCCAGCAAUAUCAUUGGACUGGCCUUUUGCGUCUAUUAGGAUUUUGAAAGUCAGAGGAGAAGGUUUGACGUUCUCGUGUUCCAUCAGCAAUAAAACAUCAGCUAUUUUCUUUCUGUCAUUCCUUUUAUACAGAAUUAGCAACUGAUUACAUGCAAAUGCUGUAAGAGGAAACUCUAAAUCCUUCAUUUUAUUAAAAAUCUCCUCUCCUUUCUUCAAAUUGUUCUGAAUAACACAGUUAGCCAAUAAAGUUCGGUAUAUUAUCUCCCCUCUAGAAGAUUCUGGAAUACUCUGGAUGUAAACUUCUGCCUUAUAAAGGCCGUGCAAUUUGGCAAUUAAAUCAAGUCGGGAAGCGUAAUCCUUUUCAACAAAUUGAAGAUGCUUUUUCGACUCAACCCACUCCGAGAGCUGCAAAAUCAACAAAAAAUAAUUAUAGAUAAGAUUGCACUGGAAAACAUCAUCCUGUAAAAUUGAAAACAAAAAUAAAAACAAACUGCAGUGUUUUUCAAUUGUGGCCAGAAAUAAAAUGGUUUUGGAUGUCUCUGCAAAAACAAACUCGGCCAUUUUAGCAACAUUAUGAGCAAACACCACAGUACACAGUCACACAUGAGAGAAAUAAAAGUGUCAUAUGUGGCCUACAAACAUGUAAUAUCUCGUUAGUUUUUUUUAUAUCAAGACAAGUUACGCAACACAACACCAGAGCUACUCAGCUUCCUAUUAGUGAAAUAUAUUCUCUGUUGGCCCCUUUCCAUGAUAAGCUAUAAACUCAAUACAGUACCAAAGCAGCACCGUCAACAGUGCUUUGUUUGAAUUCUGUCUAUUGUUAUCGAUUGCUGAUGGUAUACCAUGGUGGAAAGCCAAAAAUCUGCCAAUUUAAGCCACCAUAUAUCCUAUAAAAUGCCAUGAUGCCAGCAUCCUUCACAAAUUGGCCAUGGCAGUUGUCAAAAAAUCCACCACCUUCCAGACCUUCCUCAACCUUUCGUUGUUAGCAUGUGUUGGCUUUAAAUCCCUGUGUACAUCUAGGUUGCCAUGUUCUUUGAUUCUAUUUAGCACUUAACCAAUAUUAGUGUUUUAUAUCAACACAGCUAUAACCAUUCAAAAACUAUUAGUUAAAUAUGUUCUUUCCCUCUUCUCUUUUCCAGCUUAUGCAUAAUAAAAGGAAGUCAAAAAUCCAAUUUAAGCACAAAGGAUUCAAAUGCUAAACAAGCACAUCAUGACACUAAACAAUAGGAUUAGUUUACUACAAAUACAAUUGAGAGUUCCAAAAAAUUCAUAUUACAAGGUAUAAUAAGAAACAAACAUGAAAUAUCAGUCAUCUAAAAAUACAAGUAACAAAAAUUAUAUUUAUUUAUUUAUAUUAGCAGAAAACUUAAAACAUUGAAAAUGUAUAAAACAGAAACAACAUAAACUUGAUCCAAUUACCUGCAAAGCUCUCCCAAACAUCUUACGCUUCCGAAGAUUAACCAUAGCCAGCGAUAUCUCCUCUCUGCUCAUUUCCUUCCCCUCUUCAACCCACUUAUCCAGAGCCUUAUGAAUAGACAAACCCGGAGCCUCCAUAAUCGCCUUGAAGAGUUCCGACUCAGCCUUUCUCCGGCUAGACUUCUUCUCCGUUAAAAUAACAUCCUCGUCAUGGGAUAACGGUAACUCCAGCUCAUUGUGCGGUUCCUCAAUAUCUGAUUCAUCACUCUCAUCAGACAAUUCUGUAUCAGAAUCCAACAGUUUUUCACUUUCAUCACCCACAGGUGUCUCCAACUCCGAAAACCCCUCCUCCAAAUCAUCAUCCUCAUCUUUCGUGCUACUCGCACCGGCUUCUGACGAAAGCUCACGUCUACCAACAGUAAAUUUAAAAGAACCAUUUCCAGAAUGAUAACAUCUAUUCCGCAACGGAAAUCCACCAUCACCAUUAAAUAUUCGUCGAGAAUCAUCAAUUCCAGCCUCAUUUUCAACACAAGUACUUGAAGUUAAAUUCACACAAGAAAUCCUUACAUUAAAACCUUUCUUCCUACACAUACACAAAAACAAAAACAAAUGAUUCAGAUUCAAAUAUUAACAAAUACAAAACUAAUCUGAAAUUCAAGGUAGAAAAUACUUCAAAAUGGAAAAUAAAAACGAAUAACUGAAAAACAAAAAUAAAAACACGAAAAUGCGAUGAUGAUUAUGAAGUUGCGUUGGAAAUGGUGAUGAGAGAGGGAAGAAGAAAAGAUUACCUGAGAGGCGUUAACGAAGCUCGACGAAGAGCCCACAUGGUUGCGAAAACGAAGGUGAAAGAACAGUGAAGAAAUGGAAGUGCUUGAACCCUAGUUAAAACCCUUCUCUCACUUCGCUUCUGAUAUUCUUUUGUUUUUCAUCUCUCAUUUUUCUUCGAAUUGUUCAUUUAAUUUUAUUUUUAUUACAUUUUUUUAGUAAAAACUAAUUUAAAGAAAAUUCUCGUUAUCAAAUAAUUCUUCCGUUUAUUAUUUUAAAAUACAUAUCAUUUUUAUAAUGAAUAUAGAAAUAAUUAUUAUUUUUUAAUUAAUAUAUACAAAUUAAUUUAAUAUAAAUAUAAAUUUUUAUUAUAAUACUAUUUAUUAAAAUGACAUUCAUUUUGAACGGAAAAAGUAUAAGAAUUAAAAAAAUUUAUUAUAAUAUUAAAAAUUUUAUAAUUUUAAAUAAAAGUUUAGUUUAUAUUCUUUUAGUGGUAGGUUCAAUAAAUUCGAAAAUCAUAUUCUAAUUUAAAAAAUUGACCUAAAUUUUUUAAAAUUUUAAUAAUUAAAAAUGACGCAUCAAAAAUAUUAUUAAAUAUUAAUUAAAAAUAAAUUUAAUUAUAAUUAUUUUGACUUUUGAUAAAUCUCAUUUUUUAAUUUUUUUAUUGAAUUUUAUUAUAGCAUUUUUUUAUGUCUAUUAAUAUUAAUGAAAAGAAUUGGAUCUUCCCAAAUUUGAGGUCUCUCUAAUUUUGAGACCCUCUAUACUAGGGCUUAUUGCUAAUAUAUUGGGUUGGUGAUGUCUUUCAUACUAUUUAAGUUUAAUUAUAGAUAUAGUUAAUCUAUUUUACCUCAUUUAUAAAAUUAGUUUUUUAUUUUAAAUUCAAAUAGUUUUGAGUUUUGUCUUACGUAGGGUCAGACUAUUUCUAUGUACAGAAAUAACAUGUCAGGCCUUAGUCCGUAUGCUACAUCCAUUACAUGGCACAUUGUAGGUACGCACAAUCACCAUUAAAUAAUUUAGGUGAGAUAUAUAAUAUAGAUGUAUAAGAUAGUAUUGGUUUAGAAACCUAAUAAAAAUGGUGCAUAUGAGUUGAUUAUUCAUAUCUAAAUAAAGCAUGCCCGAAGGAUUCCUAUACAUUUCCCAACAUUAAUAAGAUCUUCGACAGGAUUCAGGUUCCUAUCCUUUAUAGAUGCAUACUCUGGAUACAAUCAAAUACCAAUGGAUCCCCUCGAUCAUAGCAAGAUGGCAUUUAUGACGGAUAUAAGAACUUUGUUACAAGGUUAUGCCGUUCGACCUCAAAAAUGAUAGAGAGACAUACUAACGAGGGAUGAACAAAGUCUUCAAUAAUCAGGUCGCGUACAUGUUGUAAGUUUACAUGGAUGACAUGAUCGUCAAAUCUAAAGAGCAGGCCAGACAUACAACCCACUUGCAAGCUAUAUUCAAGGAGGUUAUAAAACAUGGGACACCAUUGAACCCUGAUAAAUACACCUUUGAUGUAAGGUCUGAAAAAUUCGCAGGAUGUUACCUUACAGAGAGAAGGAUUGAGGUAAACUUGGUUAAAUGCUAAAUAGUGGUUAACAUGGAAGCUCCCAAGACAAAAUAAAAGGGACCUAGAAGUUUGGCGACGUGUUAAUCGCCUUGAUUAAAUUUAUCUCUAGAUUAACACAUUGUGCAUUACUAUUUUUACAAAAUCUUGAGGAAAGAAAUAACAUUUGAGUGAACCCCUGAAUGUGAUGUCACAUUCAAAAAACCUCAAACAGACAAUAUCACAAGCUCUCGUCCUAGUCAUCCUUAGAGAAGGAGAUCAUCCUUUUCUUUAUCUCUAUGUUUCCCUUGAAACUGUGAGAGUUGUCUUAGUGAGAGAAACAACUAUAUGCAAGACCCAAUUUAUUUCACCAGGAAAGUCUCGAAAGGGCCUGAAUUUUGUUAUCAUAAGGUAGAUAAUGUCGCAUUGACACUCAUAACCACAACUAGAAAACUAAGACAUUGUUUUGUGUCCAGACUAUUGCGGUACGAACCAACUAUUCCAUCAGACAAAUACUCCACAAGCCAGACCUUGUAGGAAGAAUGAUGAAGUGGGUUAUAGAACUUUUAGAUUUUUACAUUUCAUAUGAGCCAAGGAAAGUACUCAAAUCCCAAGUGUUCGUUGGUUUUUGCAGCCGAAACCACCACUAAGGAAUAAAAAAAUCAUCUAGGUCGACGAUUUUAAGUAGACGAGUUAUCUAAUUACCGCGCCGCGAAAAAUACCUUAGCGCAUCGCACGCUCAAAGAUACAAUAGAGUCGCCACCGAACUUUAUUUAUUCCCAAAGGAAAGGGAAAAUACCGAUAAAACCUAGGGGGAAGAGAAAAAGGGUAAGUAAGUCAGUUAUGCAAGGGGAAUGUAUUAGCAUCCCUCACAUCCAUUGUACUCAACGGGAACCGUUUUGAUUGUUCUUUGUGAGGAUGAAUGUUAUUAUUUGAAGGUCAUUUGCAAAAGGAAAAAAAGGUUUAAUAAUUGGUGUGCUCGCCAAGGAUUCACACAUUUGUGCCUACGUAUCCUUAUAGUGCAAUAAGAAAAUUAGAGCUUCGUAGUUCAUGGUAGAAAAUACAUAUUUGUUGGUUGCUUUUAGUGGACGAUGUUAACAUUCGCGUUCUAGCAGUUAAACGUUGCUUGUAUGCUCGCGCAUAUGAGACUUAAGAGUUUGUUUGUUUGCUGUAGAAUGGAUACGCUUGGAUCGUAUUCUAGCAGUUAAACAUUACUUGUAUGCUCGCGCAUGGGAGGCUUAAGCGUCAUUCAUGGUAGAACGGAAAUAACAUGUCCUUUUUGAAAGGUUUCUGGAAUGCCUUAAGGCGGAAAAAUUGAAUUUGAUGGGUGGUGAUUGAUUUUAAAUUUGAAAAGAUUGUCUUGAAAUAAAGUCUAUGAACGAAGGUGAAUACUUUGAAUAGCUAGGGCCUAUGCCCCAUAUUGAAAGGUACUCUAGACAAGGAUAUGAAUAAUCCCUCUCAUCAUUUUCCAUUGCUUAAGGCUCUUGGCGCACGAUUCAAAUCGUAUUUUUAAGUGUAUUUUGAGUUUAUUACAAAAAUUAUUUUAGUCUUAACAGAAAAUAAAAGGAAGAAGUCCCAAGGGUCAAGGUCUUGGUAUCCAAUUUGCCUGCAGCAUCUGUGUGGAAGAAGACUUAUUAGUUAUUGGAAUCAAAUUGCACUAAAGUCUAGGAACGAAUGUGGGUACUUUGAAUAACUAGGACAUAUGCCUCAUACUCAAAGGUACUCUAGACAAGGAUAGGAAUGAUCUCUCUGAUCAUUCUUCGUUGCUUAAGGCUCGUGGCUCACAAUUCGCGUCAGAACUGACAAGUGUUGAAGAAAAACCUUUGUUGUGCUUGAAUAAUAAUCUAGUCUUCAAUUUGUCUGCAAUAUUUUGUCUUGUGUUGACUUGUAUACGAAGUCUUGACUUGUUCGUCUUGAAAGAUCCAAUGCAGCUCCAGUACAUGUAAUUAGUCUCGUCAAGUGAUCAAGAGACUUUUGAUCACUUGAACAAACAGAGGGAACAAACACACAUCAAAGGACUUAGUUGAUCAAAGAAUACUUUGAUCAACUUAAUCAAUCAGGAUAAAAUUUCAGUUGUAAAUCAAGCACAAGGAUUCAUGACCUAAAUUCUAAGGAAGAGCAAAGUGUCAUAAUGCACAUACUUCUACAAAGUUAAACUAUAAUGCACAUGCUUCUACAAAGUUAAACUAGAACUAAGAGGAACAAAACAUGUUAUUGGUUAGAAUCUAAUCAAAAUCAAACCUAAACAUUUUAUGGUUAAUUUCUAUCUAAUGUCUUAUCAUUUUUAAUUUAUAAAAUGAAUUAAAUGAAAAAACAAUUAACCUACAUAUCUAAGUAUAUUAUUUAUGGUUAAUUUCUAUCUAAUGUCUUAUCAUUGUCCAUUUCACGUGUUUUCACUUUUAGCCUGAGUUCUUAGCUCCGCUGCACCGGAAAUUAUCUCCUGCAGCGGCGGAGGGCCAAACACCACAAACCGUACACCAUCUUACUCACCUUGUCCCCCUCUAUCUCAAUAUCCUAUAAUUUUUCUCAGAUUUUCAACCAAAUGUUCAAACCGAGCCAAUAACUACAUGAACCCUAUAUCCCUAAUUCAUAAAUUAAACGUUAAAAUGGAGGAAUCAAAGCCUAAUUCCUUAGGGCUUUGAUUUCUCAGGUUCUAGAUCACAUUAUGGUAACUAGAAUUAGGGCAAAAUGAAAGAAGAAUUGAGAGAUCCUUCCUACGAGGAUGUGUUGCUUCGAAGCAAAUGAAGAUGAUGUACUCAAGUAAAUCUUGAACCUCCAAAUUCUUCAACCUUUCCUUUUCUUCUUUCUUCUUCUACACUUUUUGAGUUGUUGUUCUUGUUGUGGUCUUCUGUGAUGCUUUGCUUGUAUGUGAUUGAUGAAGAGUGAGAGAGUGAACGUGAGUGAGAGAGUUUUGUUGUAUGUGAUUAAGAGUGAAAAAAAUGAUUGGAAACUGAUUGAAAAAUGAUAAAAUGAUUGGAAAAUUGAUGAUUGAGCAAUGAUUGAAGAAUUUAUAGAGAGGUGAUGAAUGUGACAGAAACGGAAAGCUCAAGCACCGUUAAGGCAAGUGUUAGCUCAGUUAAAUUGCCAUGGUGUAAGUUAGUUAGAGGUUAAACUUCGGUUGGUUUCUGUUAGAAAACCCUGUUAAUAUCAGUUAGAAUUGAAUCAGUUAGUUCAGUUAAAACUAAGUUAGACGUAAUGUUAAGUUUAAAUGUUAGUUAUUGGAUGCAAACAAUUAGUUUGAAUUUAGAUGUGAAGUUAGUUACGCUAGAUUCAGUUAGAGUUAGUUCAUUUUGAGUUAGUUUCUGAAAUUAUCCUUCCCUUUCAGAGUUAGUAAAAUGGAAAGAAAUUGUUAGAGAGUGGCAAUGCUUUUUGAAAUGAAUGAAACUAGGUUUAUGAUUUGAAAAUUUACGUGUUUGGAUCAACUUGUUUGAAACCUCUUUCUUGAGUUGAACUUCCACUACUUUAUGAGAUUGAAUUAUUUUGAUUAAAAUGGGUUGUUGUUGUUUGAUAAUUGGACCUAACUUGUAUUAAUGCACUAGUCAUAACCUCUGAAUGGUUAGCAUGUUGUAAAUAACAUAGUGGCGGUUAUGGAUGUUUAGGUUUUGGCUUGAAAGUUCCUUGAUUUAGCAUGGCUAUGUGUGGAAUAUAAAUGUGGCUUCAUGUAUAUGUAUUAGCUGUGCACAAUGUGUAUUUGUAAAUAACAUGCUGAUCAUGUAUAUGUCUGAUGUGGUUUUGCAGGAUUCACACACAUGGGAAGGCUUGGCACGACAUUUAAUCUUGGAAUGAUGUUUGAAAGGUUAAGCAUGGCAUAAUACUUGAAGGCAAUAUGGAGCAUGGAUGGAUAAUCAUGAGUUUGAAGAUGAAUAAUGCUCGAGGAUUAGUGGGAACUAGGUCUAGGGCUAGAGAGUUGACUUUGAUCAAAUGGUUGACCAAAAAGUCAACAGUUGACCAAAGUUUACUAUAGGUCAAAAAUGCAUUUUUUGUAGGUUUUGAUUUUUGUAAAGAUUUGUAAUGUAAUAUGAACCUUGGUGACUUUGUAAUGAAAAAGAAUUCGUAUGAUAUGAAUUGUAUAUGUAUGCUUUCCCUUCCAAAUCUCAAAAUUGAAUUUGAACGUUUCUUGAAUCUUGGAUAUUAAAUGAACUUGAAUCUUGGUUGACUUAAUCAUGAAUCUUGAGUCCUUUAA
rnacentral:lncRNA from 1 species